rnacentral:lncRNA from 1 species
CCGACACCACCACCAGUACUAUUACUGUUACUCGAAUUCUCAUUACUAUUAUUAUUGUUAUUAGUAUUAGUAUUAGAACUAUUCAGUUGCUGGUAUUGAUGAUCUCUGAGGAGAGAAUAGUGAUGAAACUUUGACUCCGUCUUCACCUGUUGCUGCUGCUGCUGCUGAUCUGAUUGGAAAUUGUUGUUGAGGAGAUGGAAGUGAGUUGAAGAAGAAGAAGAUGAAUUACCACCCAACAAGAAAUUCCCCCUCCCACC